AAUGUAGUCGAGAUAUAGUGAGGUCACCACCUAGGAUGAAAAGAAAAACGAAGGCUGUGAGGAAAAAGAAAGAGGCAGUAGUUAAAAACGUUGAUGAAGAGGAAGAAGAAGAACAAUACAAUGCUGAAAAUCCGACAGAGUCCCCUAAUGAAAAGGAAGUAUCUGCGAAAAUGAAGAAUACUAAAUCUUCUGCUAAAAAUGUUUCAAGUUCUGAUAAAAUGUCUGACUCUACUGAUGAAGAAGAAGUACGUAAAAAGAAAA
rnacentral:lncRNA from 1 species